UACGUAGGGUGCGAGCGCUAAUCGGAAUUACUGGGCGUAAAGCGUGCGCAGGCGGUUCUCCAAGUCCGUUGUGAAAGCCCCGGGCUCAACCUGGGAAUGGCAGUGGAAACUAGGGGACUGGAAUCUGGCAGAGGGGGGUGGAAUGCCGCGUGUAGCAGUGAAAUGCGUAGAGAUGCGGCGGAACACCGAUGGCGAAGGCAGCCCCCUGGGCUGAGAUUGACGCUCAGGCACGAAAGCGUGGGGAGCAAACAGG
rnacentral:rRNA from 1 species